rnacentral:lncRNA from 1 species
UAUUUUUAAAUAACCAUAUUUUCUAUGCAAAGAAUUGUUAUUGAUGAAAUCAUAUUUUUCAUAAAAUAAAGAUCAUUAUAUGUGAUAUGAAAAAGUAUGUUUUAUUAUAAGCAUUGAUUCUAUGAAUAUGUUUUAUGAAAAUAGCAUGGUUAUGAAGUAUGAAUUUUAUGAUUUUUUUAUCUAUGUAUAUGUAUGUUUUAAGAAAAAGAUAUAAAGAUUUUAAAGACUCUCAGAUAGCUAUGAACGAAUUCUUAUGGG